GUAGAACAAGCCCUUCCCGAAGUUUAAAAGAAGAAUGUGCAAAGGGAAUCAUCGCCCUAUUCCCAUACUUGGUUGACCCCAGGAGCAAAUUUGGUUAUGUUGGGACAGCGACAUGUCUUCCAUUCUGGUGCUGCUUCACCUUUUGCCACCCUCAAGUCAAUGCUGCAAAAGACUGGGAAAGAUCUCAGCUAGACAAGCAUGGGAUCGUCUUGUGAAAUUCAUCAAUACUGAUACCAGUA